GGGGCACACCCACUUUAAUACGUACCGGAAUGCAUUCGCAUUUGAUGCAGUACAUGACUCCAAAGGGCGGGCCCAAAUCCGCGAACCAGGUGGAGCCCAGUUCCCGUAUCUGCUUGCCGAACGUACAUUCUGCAACAAAGAGGGAUUUGAAUUGACUUGGCGAAUUUGUGACUCUUUUCCUCCCUCUUUCUUCUCGCAUUCUUUUUCCUUUCCAACCGGUGAUAAAAACCGAAUGGAAUAAAAGUGAAAUCGUGGGAUGAAUGGAGAGGAUUCUUUCCGGCUGGGACACGCUAAUCGACAACCUCUGAAUCAUCAACAUGCCCGAAGAGUAAAACGUCUCUGGUCGCCGCUUAAAAAACACCGAGACGACGAUGAGACAGUGUAUAAAAGAAGAAAGCGACAACGUCAGAGAGAAAGAGGGAAGAGAAAGUGGCAGAAAGCGAUUUGGAAGAAGGAAAAAAGAGUGUGCAUCAUUCUUGCAAGGCCGUUGCCUCGUUUAACAGUGAUGGCGAUUCACCUUCUUCCA